CACGUUGAAAUAUCGGUUCUCGUAUGAUCACCGACGUUAAGCAACGUCGAGCCUUGUCGGUACCUAAAUGAGUGACCACUUGGGAAUACCAG